UAGAGAGCUCUACACAGCCAGUGCCUUGGCACAACAGCUCCCCAGUUGCUGUUGUUCUUUUCUUUAAAGAUGGCUUUGAAUCCUGCUUCCCUUCCUGUCGAGUGACUCCAGGAGUCACCUCUGAUUCUGCUUUGGGAAUCCCACUGACACUGGGGCUUCACAGGAGUCUGCGAGAACAGAUGGUUCGUUGGCCAGCCUGAAUUACAUUGAAGAGUGUCCACAUCAUCCAGAAGAGAUGAGCAUCCUAGAGAGCACUGAGGAGAAGGAAAGCUGUUGUUGGUCCUGAUGAGUUUCAUAUGGGUGCAAGUUUUCCUGUGAGGUAAUCACCUUCCUGUGAGAUGGUAGAAUGUUCCAGAAGUCAGAAACAUGAUGCACUUCCGUACUUUUGAUGAGUUAUAUAUGCAA